GUGGGGAAUAUUGGACAAUGGGGGCAACCCUGAUCCAGCAAUGCCGCGUGAGUGAUGAAGGCCUUCGGGUUGUAAAGCUCUUUCGGCGGGGAAGAUGAUGACGGUACCCGCAGAAGAAGCCCCGGCUAACUUCGUGCCAGCAGCCGCGGUAAUACGAAGGGGGCUAGCGUUGUUCGGAAUUACUGGGCGUAAAGGGCGCGUAGGCUGUGCUGUAAGUCAGGCGUGAAAUCCCCGGGCUCAACCUGGGAAUUGCGCAUGAUACUGCGGCGCUUGAAGACGGGAGAGGAUGGCGGAAUUCCCAGUGUAGAGGUGAAAUUCGUAGAUAUUGGGAAGAACACCGGUGGCGAAGGCGGCCAUCUGGCCCGUAAUUGACGCUGAGGCGCGAAAGCGUGGGGAGCAAACAGGAUUAGAUACCCUUGUAGUCC
rnacentral:rRNA from 1 species